rnacentral:miRNA from 1 species
CGAAGUCUUUGGGGAGAGUGG